AAUCAGUAGUUUUUUAAUUGAAAACUUGUAUGAAUGGUUUAACGAAAUAUAAGCUGUUUCAAUAAAAUUUUAAUAGAAAUUAAUUUUUUAGUAAAAAAGCUAAAAUUUAAUUAAAAGACGAGAAGACCCUUUAGAUUUUUAUAUAUUUAAAUAUUAAUUUAAUUUUAUAUUUUUUAAAAUUUUAAUUUUUAAUAUAUUUUAUUGGGGUGAUAAUAAAAAAUUUUUAUCUUUUAUUUUUAUUUAACAUUAUUAUAUGGUUUAUUGAUCCAAUAUUAUUGAUUAAAAGAAUUAAUUACCUAAGGGAUAACAGCGUAAUUUUUUUGGAAAGUUCUAAUUUAUAAAAAGUUUUGCGACCUCGAUGUUGGAUUAA
rnacentral:rRNA from 1 species